UUCAGGAUAUUUCAUAGAAAUGGAAUCAUACCACAUGUGGUCUUUUGUGAUGGCUGCUUUCACUCAGCACUAUGUUGUCAAGGUUCAUCCAUGACGCGGCACGCAGCAGCUCAUUCUUCUUCUGGACAGAAAAUAUUCCAUUGUACGUAGACACCGCGUUUUGUUUAUCCAUUUCCGGUGACGGACAGUAAGGUUGGUUGUUCUUUUUGGCUAUUGUGAAUGAAGCUCCUGUGAGCGUUCGUGUACAAGUCUUUGUAUGAACGGAACCCAUCUGCUUGUCAUUUUGAGAGCUUCACUGUCUACCCCAAGCGUAAGAGGAGCUUCCUGCAGAGUCCUUCAUGCCAUACUGGGGCUUCCAAUCUGAUGCGGGUUUUGACUGGCACCCCAGGCCUUAGGGGCGACUGGCUGAGACCUGUGUAUCCUGGUUGUCUGCCAGCCCCUCCUGUCCCCACUCUGUCAAGAGAUGUCCUCUCCUGGGCCCUGAUUGGCACAGCACUCUGGCAGAAAUGCCCUCAGCGUGAGCUGAGACAACACCUGCAUAAGACCGAAGAUUUGUCUUUAUACCACUUCCACAUACAAAUCUUUAAAAAUCUGCCUUCUCAGAAAUGGAACCUAAACAGCUAGCAAUCACACACAGGUACCUGGAAUUCUCUAAUGCAGGUUGUGACUGGGGGCUCACAACAGGGCACUUGUCCCAUUUGGGCCGUCUCCUCUGUUCUUUGAACCCUAAAAUAAAGUAUGGUUCAGUCAAUGGGA